GACGAACGCUGGCGGCGUGCUUAACACAUGCAAGUCGAACGAUGAAGCCGGAGCUUGCUCUGGUGAAUUAGUGGCGAACGGGUGAGUAACACGUGAGUAACCUGCCCAUGACUCUGGGAUAACUGCGGGAAACUGUAGCUAAUACCGGAUACGACCCUUGGAGGCAUCUCCUGAGGGGGGAAAGAAUUUCGGUCAUGGAUGGACUCGCGGCCUAUCAGCUAGUUGGUGAGGUAAAGGCUCACCAAGGCGACGACGGGUAGCCGGCCUGAGAGGGUGACAGGCCACACUGGGACUGAGACACGGCCCAGACUCCUACGGGAGGCAGCAGUGGGGAAUAGUGCGCAAUGGGCGCAAGCCUGAUGCAGCAACGCCGCGUGAGGGACGACGGCCUUCGGGUUGUAAACCUCUUUUAGUAAGGAAGAAGCGAAAGUGACGGUACCUGCAGAAAAAGCACCGGCUAACUACGUGCCAGCAGCCGCAGUAA
rnacentral:rRNA from 1 species